GGGUCGUUAGCUCAGCCCGGUAGAGCAUCGGACUUUUAAUCCGUUGGUCCAGAGUUCAAAUCUCUGACGACUCA
rnacentral:tRNA from 1 species